UGGGAUGUGGCUCAAGCGGUAGUGCGCUUGCCUGGCAUGCAUGGGGCUCUGGGUUCCAUCCUCAGCACCACAU
rfam:Ictidomys tridecemlineatus contig115375, whole genome shotgun sequence.